CAACAGGAGUUUUUGGACUCCACUAAAGUAACAAAAAGAAUGAAAU
rfam:Picoides pubescens contig21638, whole genome shotgun sequence.